rnacentral:rRNA from 1 species
GAGUUUGAUCCUGGCUCAGAACGAACGCUGGCGGCAGGCUUAACACAUGCAAGUCGAACGCCCCGCAAGGGGAGUGGCAGACGGGUGAGUAACGCGUGGGAAUCUACCCAAUUCUUCGGAACAACACAUGGAAACGUGUGCUAAUACCGAAUGAGCCCCCCUUUACAAUGCCAGGAUGCAUAGAAUGCCCUGGCAUUUUAUGGGGGGGAAAGAUUUAUCGGAAUUGGAUGAGCCCGCGUUGGAUUAGCUAGUUGGUGGGGUAAAGGCCUACCAAGGCGACGAUCCAUAGCUGGUCUGAGAGGAUGAUCAGCCACACUGGGACUGAGACACGGCCCAGACUCCUACGGGAGGCAGCAGUGGGGAAUAUUGGACAAUGGGCGCAAGCCUGAUCCAGCCAUGCCGCGUGAGUGAUGAAGGUCUUAGGAUUGUAAAGCUCUUUCACCGGUGAAGAUAAUGACGGUAACCGGAGAAGAAGCCCCGGCUAACUUCGUGCCAGCAGCCGCGGUAAUACGAAGGGGGCUAGCGUUGUUCGGAUUUACUGGGCGUAAAGCGCACGUAGGCGGACUUUUAAGUCAGGGGUGAAAUCCCGGGGCUCAACCCCGGAACUGCCUUUGAUACUGGAAGUCUUGAGUUCGAGAGAGGUGAGUGGAAUUGCGAG